UGCGAGCGUGGUGAAACUGGCAGACACACCAGCUUGAGGGGCUGGCGCCGCAAGGCAUGGAGGUUCAAAUCCUCUCGCUCGCAU
rnacentral:tRNA from 1 species